UGUUAUAAAUCAAAAGAAGUAUUAAAAACUUUCAAUUUCGCGUUAGGUAGUCUAAAAUUUAGUAACUAAAACUAAUUAAAAAGGAAACGAAUAUUUCCGUCGAGUAUCAAGUUAGCAACAGCGAUUGUUUCAAAAUGUUCGAUAAAACAAUAGCUUUUGUUUUAGUACUUCGUCAACGGGCUUGGGAAAUAUCGUACCUAGCAACUGAUGUGAGGCAGAUAAAAGACUAGUAUAAAAAGCGUAUAAAACAAGCACUUAAUGCACAAGUAUUCUUAUUGUACUUCCUUCCGUUAUUGCAUCAGCCUUCUAGAACUUUCUACAAUUUCUUUAUGGACUUUCUUGUGCCUGUUUAGUAUAUUAUUUUUAAAGGUUUUAAUGUAAUAUUUCAGUGUAUUUGUUUUUAUUUAUUAAUUAUAGCGGAAACAGUAAGUUUUUGUUUUUUUUAUACUGUCAAAUUUUACAUUGACAGCAUUAAAUAUCAUAUAAAAUAAUAAUAAUCAUAUUAAAAUCUACUUAUAAACAACAAAGUUUAAUGUUAGAUUUUUUUUUAUGUUUGAAGAUAUGAAAUUUAGAUUAAACUUUUUAUCUAUAAAAUGAAUAUAAAAACAGAUAAGUAGCUAACUUACGAAAAAAAAAAAAACAUUAUUGAUUGCAGACAACGAACAAUCUUAUUGUUUAAAAUAAUCUCAGAUAGCUAUCAUCACUUGCGUAAUUGAAGUAACGAUCAGUCUAAGGUACUGUGAAUAAAAAAGAUAAAACUCGUACAAAACAAAAAGAAAGUCGAGUUACCAAGCGCUGCCGGCCGGCGUAUUGGCCUUGAAUUGUGACUCAUUACGAUCACUAAUAUCGUGAGUUCGUGACCAGAAAAAAUUGAACACCGCUAAAUCGAACUGAAUAAAUAUCCCUUAUCAAUUUCUGACCAAUUUCGAGUCUUAAAAAAAAAUCUUGCAGUACCGAUAAGAUAUGUCGAUAUUUUACAAAAUCAGAUCUUUCGAUGUUUUCCAAAUACUUAAUAAAACUACAGUACCAUUCAGUAAUUAUUAAUUUGACAUAAAUAUUUUUUUUCUUGUCCACACCAAUUACGUAUUUUUUAAAUAUCUAGUCGAUUGAAAAACGCAAUUACUAUCAAGACUAGUUUCUCGAAGUAUAAAAGUUAUAACCAGUUUGACUAGUAACUUCGAUCCCGCAAGUGCAAUCGUGUCCAGACAUGUUUCCGAACUUGUCAUCAAAUACCGUAAUGACGCGAUAUUUCUACGAGAAUCGGUAAGUUAAUAAAGAACUCUAUGAGACGAAAUUUAUUUUUACAGAUGUCAUACAUAGCCUAUGGGGCUGUGAUUAAAAAGAUAAAAAUAUACUUUGAAUUAAUAUGUGAGUAGUCAGAUAGGUAAUUAACGCCCUUAAAAGUCUUCAUUAUUGUUCGAAAUUAAUUGAAAUAUUGUAGAAGACCGAUAAAAUUAAUGAUAGAAAUACAAUCGAACUUAAAAAUUCGAUAAUCUGUUCAUUUUGACUAAAGUCACUUCAGAAUAAUUUUUUAUUCGCGUACAGUUUGGUGAUUGUAUGAAAAACUACAUUGUGAUUUACUUACAAAAAAACAAGUUUACUGUUGCAAUAAAAGACGUCACUCAAA